ACCGGUCCUUUCAGGGCUCCGCAGCUUUCCAGAGGUCCACUUCAGCACCCUGCAACCCUCCAGGCUCCAGCAUGCCUGGCCCGACCCCCAGUGGCACUAACGUGGGCUCUUCAGGACGCUCUCCCAGCAAAGCAGUGGCUGCCCGGGCUGCAGGAUCCCCUGUCCAGCAAAGGAAAAAUGCCAACUGUGAAACAAGGAGUGCCGGCCGCACAACCUCAGCAGGCACUGGGGGCAUGUGGCUGUUCUACACGGAAGAUUCACCUGGGCUCAAAGCUGGCCCUGUUCCAGUAUUGGUUAUGAGUCUUCUGUUCAUCACUUCUGUAUUUAUGUUGUACAUUUAGGGCAAGUACACUCGUUCAUAGAUUCAGUUACAUUUAUCUGUCAUCUGAAGAAGAAGGAAAAAGCCCAACAUAUCUUGGACCAAAAGUAUA